AGAUACAGCCAUGCCAUCCUGAAGGUGCCGGAUCUCAGCUGAUCUCAGAAGCUAAGCAGGGUCGGGCCUGGUUAGUACUUGAAUGGGAGACACAUGUUCAUCACAGUACUAUUCA
rnacentral:rRNA from 1 species